CUUCAGCAGGUUGUUAUGAUGUUGCGGCUGCUUUGAUGUGCACGUCCGCCGGCCCAUAACCAGAAUUGUUGGGGAGCUUUGAAGAGCUAAUUCUUACGGGGACGACGUUUGCUCCACCAAUAAGUGAUGGACAACUGGGCUCAGGAUGGAUAAGGUAUGUGACGACGAACUUUCUUAAGAUUCAAUGAGAAGAUUAAUACAUAAUACUUUGAAUUUUUUUAAUAUAUAUUUAAAUAGGAAGAAGAAAUAUAUAAAUAAAAGUGAUGAUAUGUGUGUAUAUAUAGUCCUAGCUAUAUUAAUGGCCUUGGACUUAAGGUUGGUCCCUACAGCUGAAAAUGAAUCAUCUUCUUCAGACAUCAUAUGUUAAAAGGUCAAUUAUGUGGAAAUUAUGUCUAAUAGACAUAUAUAUGUCUUCUUCGACUUAACAUUUGAGAAUGAUAUGUGUUUAAAUCCAAGAGGAAAGGGCAUCUCUGAAAUUAAAACUUGCAUUGUUACAUUAUCAUUAUUGUUGUAGCCCAAAACCUAAAUGCAUUUUUUUAAACUGGUUUCAUAGUUUAUUUAUUUAAUUACUUUUUAAUCUUAAUUAGUCUACUAUAUAUAUGAACUAAGUGAAAAUUUCAGUUCAAUUUGGUUGGAAAUUCAAUACUUUGUAAAUUUCCUACAGGCAAUUAAUUGAUAAAAUCCCGAGAUUAUAAGUCACAAUUAUCUGUCUACUUCUGCUAAGAGUAAAAAUCUGGCAUGAAAGUAGCUAAAGAAUUCAAAAAAAAAAAAAAUUGGGGAUUUUUUGAGGUAAAUUGCAUAUAAAUAAAUGUCGGGUUUUGAUGGAAUUUAUCAAAAGAAGUAAAACUCCA